rnacentral:lncRNA from 1 species
CAAGCAGUAUUAGGUGUUCCUGCCAACAUCUUCAGCUAAGAAUUCAACUCCUCACUAAUAUUGAUUGUGAUACCUGAGAAUGAGUAAACCUCUAGGACAGAGUCAGCAAACAUUUUCUUUAAGAGCCAAGUAGCAGAUAUUUAGACUAUUCUUAGUUCAUGGGCUGUAUAAAAAUAGACAGAAUUUGGCCUGUGAGGCUGUAGUUUACCCUGCUUUAAAUGGUUCCUAUACCCAACCUUUAAGGCAUCCCAGCUAAAGGUGAGUGGAGCAGAAAUGAGCUGACCCCACUGAGCUUUGUCCAAAUGAUCAGCUGGUGUGUUCAUCUCAUUCUGAGAAUCAGGCUGAAGGAACAACCUCUAUCUGGAACAUGCUUUACAUAUCAGAAGGAGAAGAAAGAAAGCAGGGAAAGAAAACAGGCAUCAUGAUGGCAACUAAAGGGUGAUGAGCUUGUUUCCCACUUCACUGGAAAACAAAAUGGGAAUAUUCAGAAGAUAAGUUCCACAGCUCCCAUAGCAUCUUCCUAUCUACCAGGAUUUGGACCUUCUACACCCUGCUCCCAUUAAGGAAUUAGCCUUGCUCUUGUCCAAAACUAGCCUUUGCGUAUGCCUUAGAUCCUAUCCCCCUUGCUUGCUCACAGGCUUUGCUCCAGCAAUUCUCCCUAUUUUUCCCCUAUACCAUCAGCUUCCUCUCUCUACUAGGUCAUUUCCACCAGCACACAACAAUACUGUCUCUCUCAUCUUAGAAAUGGAAACUAACAAAAUUGAGUUCACUUUUCCUUCUGACACUAUCCCUUUUCUACCUCCCCCACUUUACAGCAAAACUCUUUGAAAGCUGCCUGAAUUUCACUGCUUCCAUUUCCUCUCCUCUUCUCACUUAAACCUACUGCUGCCAGAACCGGGACUCCACCACCUCACCAGACCCCUGCUUGUCAAUAUCAUCAAUGACUUCCAUCUUGCUAAAUCCAUUUCUUGUCCCCAUUGAACUUGACCCUCAGUAACACCUUGUCAAAUUAACCACUCCCUUCUCAUGGAAAUGAUUUCUUGUUUUCUAAGACACUACACAUUUCGUUUUCCUUCAACACCCCUGGAUGCUGCUUCCCAGUCUUGUCCCUUAACCUCCUAGCACUGAAGUGAUGCAGGGCUCAGUCCACAGAUCUCUUCAUCUUUCCUGUUCACUCCAUACUCACCCUCUUGGUAAUUCCCUUCCAGUUUCAUCGUUUAAAUGGCAUCUGUCUGCAAAUGAUUAUCAAAUGUAUGCCUCCAGCCAUGGCCACUGCUCUCAACGUUAGCUUAUCCAUCUAACUGUCAACUCUGUAUCUCUACCUGGACGCCUGAUGGAGGUCUCCAAUGUACCAUGCCCUAAACUGAAAUUUUGAUCUUCUUUAUCCACAGAAUCUGCUCGACCCUAUCUCAGUUAAAGGUAUCUAUGCCCUGGUCUAGAAGGCCUUCAGUAAUUAGAAAGCAUGUAUUUUGUGUGUAUGCCUUGAUAAGUGUUGACUGUAGCUAUAGCAAGGGAUAAUUCAUCAUCAGGAAAUGGUCAGGAGAGUGUCUCCAAAUCUUUUAAGCAUGCGCUAACCUUCAUAUAUAGGGUCCUUGUAUUACCUUUUCUCAAGUUGUACUAUAAUGUCCCGACCUUCAAAAGACCUUAUCCUUGUACAUUUGAGGACUCUUAUCUUUCCUAAUUAAAGUCAGAUGGUUGUCUUGUGGGUUUUCUUCUUCCUUUCUCUUUUGUGAGCUGCCUCUUAACAGCUGUGGUGUGUUGCUAGUGAAUUAUCAGUGGACAG